rnacentral:pre_miRNA from 1 species
CCGCGGUGCAUUGCUGUUGCAUUGCAUGUGUGUAAGGCGGGUGCAGUGCCUCGGCAGUGCACCCCGG